CUUUGACCAAUCAUCGCCAUCUAGCAUUAACCGACUGAAAUACAGCAUCAUUUUGUUGUGAUGGCUACCUGUUCUUUACGCGACAAAAAGUGCGUCCAUCGUAGAUGUCAAGUGAUCUUUUCAAUACUAGAUUUUUCAGACGUUUUCAAAGUAUAUAAAGUAGGAGCCAGAUUGUUUCAUUCUUUUCGAUAGACCUUCAAUAUGUCUACUAACAAAAAACGAAAAAUGUGUGAAUCACAAAUUGACAAGACAAUCAGAAAGAAAAAGAAAAAACGGUAUGUUCUCCUGGAAAAUUUUCAAACGUGUGAAUCAAAAAUUGACAAGACAAUCAGAAAG